rnacentral:lncRNA from 1 species
GCGACGUCGUAAAAUCAUGAAAAUGGAUUUGAGGCAUCGUGGCGAUAACCGAAGACCUAUAAUUUUCGGGGCUGCGAAGCGGAGCACGGUUGAGGCGCAGUUGCGACAUCGGGCCGUGCCGAUACGGGUGCCGGGCGGGCGGCCGAUUGCCAAGUGCGACAAGCAAUCGGAACGCGAGUUAAGGUGGGUUGUGCUUACCGAAGCGAUAGGUCGCCUUUAUGUCUAAGCAAAUUAAGAAUCCAUGUUGAUGCAUAUAUGAGUAAUGAAGUUAAAAAAUGAUGCAUGUCAAUGUAAUGCCAAGGUAAGGAAAUGCGUAAUGGAUAGAUGCAAGUUAACAUAAUGCUAGAUAAAUGUAUGAUUAAUUGUUACAUGAAUGCAUAAAAAUAAUGUAGGGGUGCGUUUGGUUCGCAUUAUGAAAGAUUAUUAGGAAUGAAAAGAUGUCAGAAUCUACAUUCAUUCCUAUUUGCUUUUGCUGAAGGCAAGGCGGAGUGUGGAAUUCCUGUGUUUGGUUCGCACGGUAAUAUUAUUUAGCCAUGUUAUUUAAUAUUACAAAAAAUAUACAAUUAAUUUAUUUAUUUUUUAAUUAAUUUUAGAUAAUGCUACUAAAAGUUUCAACAUCUUUUUAGAAAAAAGAGGGAGAGAGCAUAAUUUAGAGAGAGAGAGAGAACAUAAUUAAAAAAAUAGAAAAAGAUAUAGAGUCGAAAUUAGAGGGCGUAAGAGAGUUGAGAUUUUAGAAAGAGAGAGAAAAAGCUUAGUUUAGAGAGAGAAAAAAAAGUUAAAUUUUAGAGAGAAAGAUAAGUUUAGAGAAAGAUAUGAUGUUAGAGUGUAAAGAAAAAUAAUAUCAAUUAGCCGACGGGUAGGGAGAAAGAAAGAGAUUAGAUAUAUUAUAAUUAUCCAAAUCCAUUAAUAUGAGGAUACCCAUCCUCCCUUAAGGGAAUGAGAUUAGUACUUUGGGGUGAAUCUUAUUCCCAAGUGAAUCCAAUAUUACCAACUAGAUUACUUAGUGCGUUUAGCCAAACACCGUCAUAUUUUUUUAUUCCUAUUGGAUUACUAGGAAUCUUUAAAAGAUAGCGCGAACCAAACGCACUCUUAUAGUAAUGUGUUAGAGGUAAUAUGCAUGUUGAUAAAUUAUGGAACAUGUUGGAUGGCAUAUGAAUGGUUGGCAUAUAUAUGUAGACAUAUUGUGGAAUAUGAUGAAUGAGUGCAUGUUGAUUUAUUGUAGAAUAUACUAGAUCAAUGUAUAUUGACAUAUUGUGGAUUAUGUUAAAUGACACAUGCAUAUUGAACCUGAGUCGAUAAACUCUACGUGAAUUAGAGAACUCGACAUUGAAAAACAACGACAUAUGAACUAUGAUAUGUGACGUGGACAAUCUAUAUAUAUUAGAUCGAGUGGCAUAUGAUUAGUAUAGUGGAAACACUUAUGGUAUGUUGAACACUUAGAAAAUAAGUGUGGCAUGAGUCCAAGAAUAUAGUAGUGUAUAUGACACAAGUGAUAGUAAAGAAUGCAAAGAAAAGAAUGAUGGAAAUAUUAUGACAUUUCAACCCUAGAGUUAGAGUCAUUUGAGCAUAGUCUUCCUAAAGUUAAGGAAUGGAUUGAACUUGACAUCCUCAAGAUUUUGGAUUUGAUCAUUGAUCAUACUCACCUUUAGUCCUUGCUCGAGGUUGUGGUAGCUCCCCCUCGGGCGAUGUGCUCCGGAGUCGACAUCACUGGGUUGUAGCGGGUAUCUCCCCAGAGGACGGUCCCACCGGGUUGUAGCGGGUAUCUCCCCGGUUAAUGGGAUUUUGGGUUGGUGAGUUUGUUGAGGGCGAAACCUUUGGGUUAGCCAAGUGAUUGGGUAAUAAACUUAUGAGCUAUAAUAAUAUCCUAGUUGAGUGGACUUAAGGCUGAGGUGCAAGUGAGACGUCCUUCGCCUCGAGCCUGCCUUUGCGCGGUACUCCGCGAAUGAUUGACUCAAGACCGAGUCGGGUGGAUAGUUGAUAAAGGUAAAUGAGACCUUAUGAUUAAAAUGGUAAAUGACAGAAAACCUUAAAUGUCAAUUGGAUGAAAGUAGUAAUCGAUUGAAUUACUAGUUGAUUGUAUAGUCGCAUCAUUGCAUGAUCUUCAUAUUGCAUUCGUGAGGCAAUGCAUGGUUUUAUUCGUUGCAUAAUCAAGAUAUAUAUCUAUCUGUUUAUUGAACUAACUUGCAGUUGCCUCCCUUGGACCUAUUGGUCGAGCUUUUCCCUUGGGUGGCCGUACCCACUGGGAACCAUGGAGUUGGUUCUCACCCCACGUGGUUUUGGGGUGUUACAGGUUCACACGUGAGCGGCGCGGCGGCGCGAGGCGAGGGCGUAGCAUCAUAGUUAGCGCCCUACCACCGAGACCAGAGAUAGCGGUACCCUGAGUCGGCUUGCUUAGGAUUGUAGAAAAUGAAAAGAAUCAAGUUGUAAUAAUCAUGUUAAAUCGGAUUGUAUUUGGAAGUUGAAUGUAAUAAGUAUUUGGGAUGUAAAAUGUAUGAAUGUGAAUGCUUGUAAUAACAAGAUUAUGUUUUUGAUACUUCCUUAUGCAAUCUUUGAUUGAAAUGUAUUCCUGGUUGGAACUUUGUACAUUGUAUUGAUUGCGACGCCUUGAAUGCACAGGGGAGACUCUGUCCGCGGUACCGGAGAAACCCUGUCCGUUCGGCGGUCUGUUACGGCGCCGCAACCCGGCCAAAUAGGCGGGCGGUCGCGGGGCGUGACAUCCAGUGCUCUUGCAAGUAUCUCCUAUAAGGGUGUGAACUGAUUUAGAAUGUGGCGAAAGCUAAGUCCUUGUUAUUUUACACCCACUUUAGGAUGUACCACGAGAAUUGCUCUUUAUAAAAUCUCAAAGGGGUUUUUGAAAUUCUAAAUCUAACGGUGUAAGAUGUACACCUCUAGAUGGUGUGGAAAUAUUGUAUUUCCCUCUCUUUUGUCAAAUCUUGCUUAAUGACACAACAACAAUUUGUUUCAAAUUUAUGAUUUUCAUUUCAAACUAUUUACUUUUAAAUAAAAAAUAUUAUAAUUAAGUAAAAUUUAUAUAAAAUUUUAGGGUAAACUUCAAAUUGCCCUUAUGUGCAUAGCUUAUCUUCACAUUGCCAU